UACAUAGUUAGCCGGGGCUUCCUCCUUAGGUACUGUCUUGUAUCUUCCCUAACGACAAUAGUUUACAAUCCGAAAACCUUCUUCCUAUACGCGGCGUCACUGCGUCAGAGUUUCCUCCAUUGCGCAAUAUUCCCGACUGCUGCCUCCCGUAGGAGUCUGGGCCGUAUCUCAGUCCCAAUGUGGCCGUUCAACCUCUCAGUCCGGCUACUGAUCGUUGCCUUGGUAGGCCGUUGCCCCACCAACUAGCUAAUCAGACGCAAGCCCAUCUAUCAGCGGAUUGCUCCUUUCCUAACUGUAUCAUGCAAUACUGUUAGCAUAUGCGGUAUUAGCAGUGAUUUCUCACUGUUAUUCCCCCUCUGAUAGGCAGGUUGCUUACGUGUUACUCACCAGUCCGCCACUAACCGCUCCCAAUGUAAACAAAGGGUUAAGUCCGUUCGACUUGCAUGUCUUAUGUGCGCCGCCAGCGUUUAUCCUGAGCCAGGAUCAAACUC
rnacentral:rRNA from 1 species